GACAGUGAAGUUAACAGACCUAUACGAACUGCAAUUUCGUAACUGUAACUGUGUCUUUCAAAGAGAACACUACAAGCGCUCGCUUUGCAUUUUGUUGUUGGUUUCGUUUGGCGCUGCAUUUAACUGUGUGCCGCACACAUUUUGCAUAGAACGCGCUGCGGUUCGUACGGUAUCUCUAUCUUGACAUUAUUUUUAAGUACACCAAUAUUUGUGCAAGUGUUUUUUUACAUGUUCACGCUGCGCGCGCGCUUCAUAGUGUACUUCUAUGUGUGUGCGUGAGAGCCAGGGCUAAAGUUCGACUCGAACUGCAAUUGCAAUAGCAAUUGAAAGCGACAUACAUAUACAUAUUUGUGCCCAUAUUGCUAAUUCGCCGGACAGCAAGCAGCAAAAAGUCUCCAAUCGGGCAGGCAAAACUUCAAAGUCGAGACUCUCCAAAUGUGUGCG